CUGGCAGUCAGAGGCGAUGAAGGACGUGCUAAUCUGCGAUAAGCGCCGGUAAGGUGAUAUGAACCGUUAUAACCGGCGAUUUCCGAAUGGGGAAACCCAGUGUGAUUCGUCACACUAUCAUUAACUGAAUCCAUAGGUUAAUGAGGCGAACCGGGGGAACUGAAACAUCUAAGUACCCCGAGGAAAAGAAAUCAACCGAGAUUCCCCCAGUAGCGGCGAGCGAACGGGGAGGAGCCCAGAGCCUGAAUCAGCAUGUGUGUUAGUGGAAGCGUCUGGAAAGGCGCGCGAUACAGGGUGACAGCCCCGUACACAAAAGCGCAUGUGCUGUGAGCUCGAUGAGUAGGGCGGGACACGUGGUAUCCUGUCUGAAUAUGGGGGGACCAUCCUCCAAGGCUAAAUACUCCUGACUGACCGAUAGUGAACCAGUACCGUGAGGGAAAGGCGAAAAGAACCCCGGCGAGGGGAGUGAAAAAGAACCUGAAACCGUGUACGUACAAGCAGUGGGAGCACAGGUUUACCUGUGUGACUGCGUACCUUUUGUAUAAUGGGUCAGCGACUUAUAUUCUGUAGCAAGGUUAACCGAAUAGGGGAGCCGGAGGGAAACCGAGUCUUAAUUGGGCGUUAAGUUGCAGGGUAUAGACCCGAAACCCGGUGAUCUAGCCAUGGGCAGGUUGAAGGUUGGGUAACACUAACUGGAGGACCGAACCGACUAAUGUUGAAAAAUUAGCGGAUGACCUGUGGCUGGGGGUGAAAGGCCAAUCAAACCGGGAGAUAGCUGGUUCUCCCCGAAAGCUAUUUAGGUAGCGCCUCGUGAAUUCAUCUCCGGGGGUAGAGCACUGUUUCGGCUAGGGGGCCAUCCCGGCUUACCAACCCGAUGCAAACUGCGAAUACCGGAGAAUGUUAUCACGGGAGACACACGGCGGGUGCUAACGUCCGUCGUGAAGAGGGAAACAACCCAGACCGCCAGCUAAGGUCCCAAAGUCAUGGUUAAGUGGGAAACGAUGUGGGAAGGCCCAGACAGCCAGGAUGUUGGCUUAGAAGCAGCCAUCAUUUAAAGAAAGCGUAAUAGCUCACUGGUCGAGUCGGCCUGCGCGGAAGAUGUAACGGGGCUAAACCAUGCACCGAAGCUGCGGCAGCGAACGUAUCACUUAAAGCGAUUCAGCGGGUUACGAUUGACGGAGCGAAGCGACGUCAAAGCGUAUACAAAGUCGAGUCGGUUUAAGGAUACGUUCGUUGGGUAGGGGAGCGUUCUGUAAGCCUGUGAAGGUGGCCUGUGAGGGUUGCUGGAGGUAUCAGAAGUGCGAAUGCUGACAUAAGUAACGAUAAAGCGGGUGAAAAGCCCGCUCGCCGGAAGACCAAGGGUUCCUGUCCAACGUUAAUCGGGGCAGGGUGAGUCGACCCCUAAGGCGAGGCCGAAAGGCGUAGUCGAUGGGAAACAGGUUAAUAUUCC
rnacentral:rRNA from 1 species